rnacentral:SRP_RNA from 1 species
GCCAGGCACAGUAGCACAUGCCUGUAGUCCCAGCUACUGGGGAGGCUGAGCAGGAGGCUCGUUUGAGGCCAGGAGCUCUGGACUGCAGUCUAUGCCAGUCGGGUGCUGGCACUAAGCUCUGAAUCAAUAUGGUGAUCCAAAGAGGGGUGAACUGGCCCAGGUUGGAAACAGAGCAGGUAAAAACUCCUGUGCUAAUCAGUAUUGGGGUCAUGCCUAUGAGUAGCCAUUGCACUCCAGCCUGGGCAACAUAGCAAGACCCUGUUUCA